rnacentral:tRNA from 1 species
GGGGCGGUAGCUCAGUUGGUUAGAGCCGCGGACUCAUAAUCCGAUUACGGAACCACCCGCUGUGCCC